UUAGAUCAAAAUGAAGAGGGCCUGCAGCAUUCAGGAUUGUUUUGAGAGAGAAUGCUGAUCCUUAGAACAGCUAGAAAGACAAAACAAGAUGAGGAAUGUAGUCAAUCUGCAGUAUGGACCUCAAUAUUUCCUUCAAAAGGAGAUGCACAGAAGAAAAGAGGCCAGGUCGUGCGGAGGGUAGGGAGUAGGUAGGUAGACGUGAUAUUCAGCAAACUAUACAGAAAAAUCAAGAAUUUUUGUUUCUUUUCAGUAGAUUUAAAGGAAGCAUUGAAUCCAAGUAGAUGUUCUCAGCAGCUCCGAGAGCAAAUAAAGAAAGUGUUUGAUUUUGAAGAAUCAGGCAUUGGGAGUCUGUACCACUGCUAAUGUCUAUUGGGAGACGGUGAUCGUGGAAAGUGGCAUGCAUAUAUAGUGAAAAGGAACCUAAAAAUCCCUUAUUCUGCAGAUCCUUCUCAGACAUCACUCCAGCCAGCCAUUGCCAAGAGAUUAUAGCUGACACCUACUUCACAUCCCUGGUAUGAUGUUUAAAAAACUAUGAACUAGGAUCUGAAGUUCAAGAAGACCAUCAGCCCCCGACUCACUCUGUUUGUCCAAAUGCAUGGUAUAGAGCACUAGCUCCUAUUUUAAAGAACAAAGAAGACUUUAAUAAAGUAUAAUUUGUAGACACUCCAUAAAUUACCCUUUAUCACUGGAAGAAGACCAGCUAGGAAAGUCAUAAAGCAUGUGUUCCAGCUUGCUUUUAUGAAUGGAUAAAGAAGAUGUGGUAUAUAUAUACAAUGGACUAUUAUGCAGCCAUCAAAAAACCGAAAUCUUGCCAUUUGCAACAACGUGGAUGGAACUAGAGGGUAUUAUGCUAAGAGAAAUAAGUCAAUUAGAGAAAGACAUGUAUCAUAUGAUUUCACCGAUAUGAGGAAUUCUUAAUCUCAGGAAACAAACUGAGGGUUGCUGGAGU